UUCUUACUGUUUGUUCUAUUCAAAAUUUUCUCUUCUUAUGUUUAAUCAGCAAAAAUCGUCAGCUGGAUGCGCUUGUCUUUUUGUUUUUGCAGAAAAUGAGGCAGUAGCACUAGGCCCCCGGGUGAACCAGUCAGGAGGCGUCGUACAGAUGACCAUACAUCAUGUGCAUGGACCUGGCUCGUCUCUAGCACCCCAACCUCCAGUAUCGUUCUCGGACGUACUCGCUUGGGAUGACGCACGUGUAAAGACACUGAACUCCAGGCUGACAAGGAAGGACACCCGGUUCCCGAAAUCCGUUCUGACAAAGAAGGACAUCCGGUUCCCGAAAUCCGUAAGCGUCCCUCUGAAUCCAGGCGCUUCGAUUGGGUCUGGCAAUUAUUAUGUGAAGGUAGGGUUUGGCAGCCCUGCUAGGUACUACUCCAUGAUUGUGGAUACCGGAAGCUCCUUGUCCUGGCUCCAGUGCAAGCCUUGUGUUGUAUACUGUCAUGUCCAGGCGGACCCUCUGUUCGAUCCUUCAGCAUCUAAGACCUAUAAAUCUUUGUC
rnacentral:lncRNA from 1 species